CGCGUCUGAUUAGUUAGUUGGCAGGGUAACGGCCUACCAAGACGAUGAUCAGUAGCCGGCUUGAGAGAGUGGACGGCCACAUUGGGACUGAGACACGGCCCAGACUCCUGCGGGAGGCAGCAGUGGGGAAUAUUGCACAAUGGGGGGAACCCUGAUGCAGCAAUGCCGCGUGGGUGAAGAAGCACUCCGGUGCGUAAAGCCCUGUCAGCAGGGAAGAAAAUGACAGUACCUGACCAAGAAGCCCCGGCUAACUACGUGCCAGCAGCCGCGGUAAUACGUAGGGGGCAAGCGUUAUCCGGAUUUACUGGGUGUAAAGGGAGCGCAGGCGGUAUGGCAAGUCAGAUGUGAAAACCCAGGGCUCAACCCUGGGACUGCAUUUGAAACUGCCAUACUGGAGUGCCGGAGAGGUAAGUGGAAUUCCUAGUGUAGCGGUGAAAUGCGUAGAUAUUAGGAGGAACACCAGUGGCGAAGGCGGCUUACUGGACGGUAACUGACGCUGAGGCUCGAAAGCGUGGGGAGCAAACAGGAUUAGAUACCCUGGUAGUCCACGCUGUAAACGAUGAAUACUAGGUGUCGGGGCACA
rnacentral:rRNA from 1 species